CUCCUGCACUCUCCACCCACUUCCUCCUGCUCAGAUUCCUCAUCUCCCUGCUUCCCCAUAAAUGGCAUUUCUCGUGAAAAACGGGCCUGCUGCAGGAUCUGCUGCACACUCCACCCGCCUCUACCUUUGAGUACAAGGAGAAGAUGCCCCUCCUUCCUCCUGCCAGUAUGGGAGAAAUGUGCUGGCCUCAGCAAGGAUGAGGCAGCUGCCCAAGGCGGGUAUGGCACCUCCGUGAUCGUCAAGACUGGGGCUCCAUCUGUAUUACUACUCCUCCACCUUAGCAUGCUCCCUCGUGUUUCAGAAUGGCUGCUUGAGUGCCAGUGAUCACAUCUGCAUGGCAUUCAGCAGAAGAGAUAAAGAACUCUUUCUUUAAGGACACUUAAAUUUUUUGACAUCCUUGAGUCAUAGGGACAUCUUUAAAAGUUACACAGUACUCCUCCUUACACCUCAUUGGACAAGGCAUGGUCAAACCUCAUCAGUAAAAUGGAGACUGUAACACCUACUUCAUAGUGUUAUUAUACAGAUUAAAUGAGAUUUUAAAAAAUAUAUGGCAGAUUAAAGU
rnacentral:lncRNA from 1 species